GAUGAACGCUGGCGGCGUGCCUAAUACAUGCAAGUCGAGCGAACAGACGAGGAGCUUGCUCCUCUGACGUUAGCGGCGGACGGGUGAGUAACACGUGGAUAACCUACCUAUAAGACUGGGAUAACUUCGGGAAACCGGAGCUAAUACCGGAUAAUAUAUUGAACCGCAUGGUUCAAUAGUGAAAGACGGUUUAGCUGUCACUUAUAGAUGGAUCCGCGCCGCAUUAGCUAGUUGGUAAGGUAACGGCUUACCAAGGCAACGAUGCGUAGCCGACCUGAGAGGGUGAUCGGCCACACUGGAACUGAGACGCGGUCCAGACUCCUACGGGAGGCAGCAGUAGGGAAUCUUCCGCAAUGGGCGAAAGCCUGACGGAGCAACGCCGCGUGAGUGAUGAAGGUCUUCGGAUCGUAAAACUCUGUUAUUAGGGAAGAACAAAUGUGUAAGUAACUAUGCACGUCUUGACGGUACCUAAUCAGAAAGCCACGGCUAACUACGUG
rnacentral:rRNA from 1 species